rnacentral:lncRNA from 1 species
UUUCAUCUCCAAUUAAAAGCCUACUCUGCAGCAGCAAUAGACGCAAAGUUGCUUCAUCUUCCUUUUUUCUUUUUUUGUUUUAAAACAACAGAGGGAAGAAAGAGGGAUCUGCUAGGCCUUCUUUAAAGCCCUAACUACCGCCACGCCACCGCCUUUCAAGCUUCGCCGCCGACUCCGAUUCAGGUAAGUUUCGCCCUUUCCUUUUUUGCCUUUUCUUUUGCACCAAAAACAGAGAAGCAAAGAGAAAAAAAAUAAAAUAAAUAAAACACAAAGAAAAUUACCUUCAAAAAUUGUUUUUGAUUAUUUGUUUGUAUUUCAGUAUUUUUCCAAUACAAUAUUUUUCUCUUUUUAGUACCCAAUCCCCCUUUUCUUUGUGAUCGAUUUUGGCUUUUUAAAACCGAUCUAUAAAACAUUCAUUUCCUAUUUUUUGUUUUCGUUCUUUUGUUUAUUCUUUUCCCCAUUCCUCGCAUGCUUCCUUUUGCUGUUGUUUUUGUCUCUGUUGCAGGUGUGUCCGGUGUGGGUGGUGCACGUGAUGGCCAAGGGCAGAGGUAGCAUGGGGCGACUGAUCAGAGGCGUGCAUGCGUGAGGGGAGGUGAAGCGGCGGCAGCUACAAAGCAUGAGGCUAGGGUUUUUUUGUUUGGUUGAAAACUAGUAUAGUUUGGGCCAUUCGGGCCUCUAAGGUUUUUAUCAUUAUUAGGCAUUUGGAUUGGGUUUGUUUUUUGGGUUAAUUUUGUUGUAAUGGUCUGUUAAUUUUUAUUAGUCUUGGUCCAUUUGGGUUUUAUGGUCUGGGCCUGGGCAAAAAUGGGCUUUUACAGCUGCCCCUCUUUGCUCAUUUUCGUGUAACGAGAAUAGAGCAAAGACAUCAAAAGGGCCAAUUUUGCCCGGCCUUGCCGAGUCUUGACUUUUUGGUGCUCAUCUUUUUUAAGUAGCCUUAUUCCAGCCUGCUACGUCUUGUUGCUUCGAUCCACUCUACUGCAACUUCAGAUACGCCUUGUAGCUUCAAUCUACUCUGCUACGACUCCAUGGGGAUGAGAUUUGUGUUUUUAGUGUGCUCCACUACUAUUUAGGGAGAUAAGACUGGAUGUGAUCUGCUCCACUACUACUUAGGGAGAUAAGACUGUAAUCUUCAAUCUAUUCCACUGCCAAAUACAGGGAGAUAGAGUUAUCAGCUUCAAUGUACUCCACUGUAGUUACAGGAAGGUAAAAUCUGCCAUCUUCGAUCUACUCCACCACUAGUAUGGGAAGACAAGAUCUGUAUCUUGGAUCCACUUCCUAUCAAUAUAGGAAGAUAGGACCUGCUAUCUUCGAUCUACUUCACGCCAAUACAUGAAGACAAGAUCUGCUUUCUGCGAUCUACUUCGCCACCAAUAUGGGAAGACAAGAUCUGCAUCUUCGACCCACUUCCUAUCAAUAUAGGAAGAUAGGACCUGCUAUCUUCGAUCUACCUCACGCCAAUACAUGAAGACAAGAUCUGCUUUCUGCGAUCUACUUCGCCACCAAUAUGGGAAGACAAGAUCUGCAUCUUGGAUCCACUUCCUAUCAAUAUAAGAAGAUAGGACCUGCUAUCUUCGAUCUACUUCACGCCAAUACAUGAAGACAAGAUCUGCUUUCUGCGAUCUACUUCGCCACCAAUAUGGGAAGACAAGAUCUGCGUCGUCGAUCCACUUCCAAUCAUUAUAGAAAGAUAGGACCUGUUAUCUUUGAUCUACUUCACGCCAAUACAUGAAGACAAGAUCUACUUUCUGCGAUCUACUUCGCCACCAAUAUGGGAAAACAAGAUCUGCAUCUUGGAUCCACUUCCUAUCAAUAUAGAAAGAUAGGACCUGCUACCUUCGAUCUACUUCACGCCAAUACAUGAAGACAAGAUUUGCUUUCUUCGAUCUACUUCGCCACCAAUAUGGGAAGACAAGAUCUGCAUCUUCGAUCCACUUCCUACCAAUAUAGGAAGAUAGGACCUGCUACUUUCGAUCUACUUCACGCCAAUACAUGAAGACAAGAUCUGCUUUCUUCGAUCUACUUCGCCACCAAUAUGGGAAGACAAGAUCUGCAUCUUCGAUCUACUUCGCCACCAAUAUGGGAAGACAAGAUCUGCAUCUUCGAUCCAUUUCCUACCAAUAUAGGAAAACCGGAUCAGCUAUCUUCGACCUACUUCACGCCAAUACAUGAAGACAAGAUCUGCUUUCUUCGAUCUACUUCGCCACCAAUAUGGGAAGACAAGAUCUGCAUCUUCGAUCUACUUCGCCACCAAUAUGGGAAGACAAUAUCUGCAUCUUCGAUCCACUUCCUACCAAUAUAGGAAAACCGGAUCAGCUAUCUUCGACCUACUUCACGUCAAUACAUGAAGACAAGAUCUACUUUCUUCGAUCUACUUCUUGUCCCGGGAGAUAGAACUAUCAGCUUCAAUGUACUCCACUGUGGUCAGGGAGGUAAAAUCUGCCAUCUUUUGAUCUGCUUCGCUGCCAAAUACAGGAAGGCAAGAUCUGCAAUCUUCAAUCUAUUCCACUGCCAAAUACAGGGAGAUAGAGUUAUCGGCUUCAAUGUACUCCACUGUAGUCACAUGGAGGUAAAAUCUGCCAUAUUUGAUCUUCAAUCUAUUCCACUGCCAAAUGCAGGGAGAUAGAGUUAUCGGCUUCAAUAUACUCCACUGUAAUCAGGGAGGUAAAAUCUGCCAUCUUUGAUCUGCUUCGCUGUCAAAUUCAGGAAGGCAAGAUCUGCAAUCUUCAAUCUGCUCUGCUACAAACGAGAGAGGCAAGGUUUGUCUUUGAUUUUUACUGAUCUGUUCUCUAGGGAACAUGACCUGUAUAAUGAACCUAAUUAUGCCUAAUGAUUAGGAUGGCAUGAUCAGAAUGGAUCAAAUGUUCCUAACUAGAUGUGCGUGAAUGACAUUUGAAUGAAUGCAGAAUGUCAUGAAAAUGAUUCCUUAAUGCUUAGGUUGUCAUUCCUCAUUGUUCAUCAAGGUUCUAUCACUGAUGCCUUCUUGUUCAGCCAGUACCUUUGAUAGAAAACCUAAAGAAAUAGACGCUAUUUAGACUAUCAUUUCUCAAAUGUUUCCAACCCUUAGGUUUGGUUAGUUCUAAACAAUAGUCUUGUUUCAGGUCCUCGUAUUAUUUAGAAACUUUCAGAGUAAUAUGCAGAACUCCUUCUGCCUGUGUAUUGUCAGUCCAUUAAUCGUUAUUUCAAUGAAAAAUGCUUGAAAAAGAUUAUCAAAAUGGACAAAAUGAAAUUUUGUUGAGAGCAAAGCUCUUAAACAAACAAAUCAAUCAAGAUAGCAAAUUUUGCUGAGAUACGAGAUGAAUAAGAUGAAAAAGAUUAUCACAAUGGAUAAGACGAAAAUUUGUUGAGAGCAAAGCUCUAAAUGAACAAAUUAAUCAAGAUAGCAAAUUUUGCUAAAGUACAGAACGAGGAUAAAUUAAUCAAGAUGAUGUAUUUUGUCAAAAAUACAAAAAAUGAAUAAAAUGGAAAUAGGUGCCCCAGAUAUCGUAGCAUGAGCUUCUCUGCCCCAAACUUCUUAAGGACCCUUUUGAACUUGAUAUGUGUUUAGAAGUCCUAGAAGGCUUUGUUGAUGCCCCAUCUUUGAUCGAAAACUACUUUAUGCCUCAUCUUUGAUCGAAAAUUUGAAUUGCCCAUUCCUGGGUUUUCAAUUCAAAACCCCUUUGGUCUCAAGGUGCCCUUUGCGGGUUUUCGCCUUGGCCUCUCCUUUUUUUUUUUAGGCAAAGUACCUCUUCACUGAAUCCGAAUUCACAGGAUUGGGCAAGCUUUUGCCAUCCAUCCCAGUUAAAAUUAAUGCCCCUCCUGAAAAGGCCUUUUUUACUACAUAAGGUCCCUCCCAGUUUGGCAUCCACUUUCCUCUGAAGUCUUUUUGUAUGGGAAGGAUCUUCUUCAGUACCAAAUCCCCUUCAUGGAAGUUUCUAGGACGAACUUUCUUAUUGUAAGCUCGCAUCAUUUGUUUCUGGUACAUUUGACCAUGACGGAUAGCUCUUAACCUCCUUUCUUCAAUCAAGUUCAGCUGAUCAUAUCGGGAUUGGACCCAUUCUGCUUCGUCUAACUUUAGUUCUGAAAAAACUCGGAGGGAGGGAAUUUUAACCUCAAUUGGUAGCACUGCCUCCAUUCCAUAAACCAAAGAGAAUGGUGUUGCCCCGGUAGAAGUCCUGACGGACGUUCGAUAAGCAUAGAGGGCGAAUGGCAACUUCUCGUGCCAAUCUCUAUAGGUCUCAGUCAUUUUCUCCACAAUCCUUUUGAUAUUUUUAUUGGCUGCCUCCACCGCACCAUUCAUCUUUGGACGGUAUGGUGAUGAGUUGUGGUGCUUGAUAUUGAAUUGACUACAAACCUCUACUAUCGUGCUAUUAUUCAAAUUUAAUGCGUUGUCAGAUAUAAUCCUUUCGGGCAUUCCAUACCGACAUAUGAUUUCCUUUUUUAAAAACCUGCUGACAGCUGCCUUUGUGACGUUCGCGUAAGAAGUAGCCUCUACCCACUUAGUAAAGUAGUCAAUCACUACAAAAAUGAAACGAUGUCCGUUUGAAGCCUUUGGCGAUAUCAGCCCAAUGACGUCCAUGCCCCACAUGGAGAAAGGCCAUGGGGAAGUCAUGACGUGAAGAGGUGAUGGAGGCACAUGGAUUUUGUCUCCGUAAAUCUGGCAUUUAUGGCACUUCUUAGCAUAUUUGAUGCAGUCUCCUUCCAUGGUAGACCAAUAAUAUCCAAAUCUCAUGAUUUGUCUGGCCAUUGUGAAACCGUUAGCGUGUGUUCCACAAAUACCAUCAUGGACUUCUUCCAAGAUCUGUUUGGCCUCCACAGCGUCCACACAUCUUAACAGCACCUGAUCUUUUCCUCCUUUGUACAGGAUCUCUCCAUCUAAGACGUAAUCACUGGCCAGCCUCCUCAACAUUCUCUUGUCAUUCUCAGUUGCUUGGUUUGGGUAUUCACGAUUUUUCACGUAUCGCAAUAUGUCCUGGUACCAAGGGUUGUCGUCCUUUUCUUCUUCCUUGUCAAUGUUACAACAGUGGGCUGGAGCAUCAUAAAUGCUCAUUUGGAUAGGUUUCACAUCCUCUGGUCUAUUUACUUUGAUCAUGGAAGCUAAUGUAGCUAAAGCGUCAGCCAUCUGAUUCUCGUCUCGUGGGAGGUAACAAAAAGUGAUGUCGUCAAACUCCUCAAUCAAUUCUAGGACUAUCAUUCGGAAACUAAUCAACUUAGGGUCUCUUGUUUCCCAUUCGCCUUUGAGCUGAUAAAUUACCAAUGCCGAAUCCCCACAUACCUCAAGUACCUUGAUUUUGCGUUCCAUAGCCGCACGGAUUCCCAUUAUACAUGCUUCAUAUUUCGCCAUGUUAUUUGCGUAAUCAAAAUCUAGUUUACUGGUGAAAGGAUAAUGAUCACCGUUUGGAGAUACCAAGACUGCCCCAAUCCCGUUGCCCAUGGCAUUUGAGGCUCCGUCAAAAUUUAAUUUCCAAGUAUUGCCUUCUUGUGUGCUUGCUUCAGUAGUUGCCACAUACAUCAGAUCCUCAUUUGGGAAAUCAAAGUUCAAAGGCUCAUAAUCGUCCAGGGUUCUACUUGCUAGAAAAUCUGCUAUCGCGCUCCCUUUUACAGCCUUUUGAUUCACAUAGGUUAUGUCAAAUUCAGAUAGUAGAAUUUGCCAUCGGGCCAUCCUUCCGUUUAGAGCAGUUGACUCCAUCAUGUAUUUCAGAAGGUCUAACUUUGAGAUUAACCAAGUCGUAUGGUACAACAUGUAUUGUUUCAAUCUCCGAGUAGUCCAAACCAAUGCGCAACAUAAUUUUUCAAUUGGCGAAUAUCUCGUUUCGUAUUCAGUGAACUUCUUACUGAGAUAAUAGAUCGCUCUUUCCUUUCGUCCUGACUCAUCAUGUUGGCCGAGCACGCACCCCAUAGAAUUCUCAAAUACUGCCAAGUAUAGUAUCAGUGGCUUGUCAGGGCAAGGUGGCAUCAGUACUGGGGCGUUGGACAAGUAAUGUUUAACUCUUUCGAAAGUUUUCUGGCACUCUUUAUCCCAUACACCUGGAUUGUGUUUCCUACGAAGACGGAAUAUGGGGUCACAUUUCUUAGUUAAUUGUGAAAUGAAUCGAGCGAUGUAAUUUAGUCUUCCUAGGAAACCCCGAACUUCUUUUUGAGUACUUGGCGGAGAUAAUUCUUGUAUGGCCUUAACUUUGUCUGGGUCAAUUUCAAUUCCUUUUUCGCUGACUAAGAAUCCUAGCAAUUUUCCUGAUCUAGCCCCGAAAGUACACUUGGCUGGGUUAAGUUUUAGCUGGAACUUCCUUAACCUUAGAAACAGUUUUCUCAGAACUUGCACGUGUUCCCCUUCUGUUCUGGAUUUUGCGAUCAUAUCAUCAACAUAAACUUCUAUCUCUUUAUGCAUCAUAUCAUGGAAUAAUGCUACCAUGGCUCUCUGAUACGUUGCUCCCGCAUUUUUCAAUCCAAAAGGCAUCACUUUAUAACAAAACGUCCCCCACAUCGUUAUGAAUGUGGUAUUCUCCCUGUCUUCAGAAAGCAUCUUAAUUUGGUUGUACCCGGAGAAACCAUCCAUGAAAGAGAACAGUGAGUAUCCGGCCGUGUUGUCUACCAAGGUAUCGAUAUGAGGCAGUGGGAAAUUAUCUUUUGGGCUGGCUUUGUUCAAGUCUCUGUAGUCCACACACAUUCGCACCUUCCCAUCUUUCUUAGGAACAGAGACUAUAUUGGCUACCCAUUCUGAGUACUUGACCACCUGUAAGAAACCAGCAUCAAAUUGCUUCUUAACUUCUUCCUUUAUUUUUAGCAAGACAUCAGGCCUCAUCCUUCGGAGCUUUUGUUGGACUGGUUUGCAUUCUUCUUUUAUAGGCAAUCGGUGUACCACGAUAUCAGUACUUAACCCUGGCAUAUCUUGGUAGGACCACGCGAAGACAUCUUUAAACUCUUGAAGCAACUCAACAAGGUCUUGCCUUGUUUCCUUGGCAAUGCAAGCGCCAAUUUUUACCUCUCUGCCCUCUUCUAAGAUCACAACUUCUACUGAUUCCUUAUAGGGUAGAAUUUGUUUUUCUUCUUCUUCCAUCAUUCUUAACAAAUCCGGAGAUAAAACGCUGUCUUGGUCACCUUCAAAAUCUUGAGGAUCAUCUAUACUCAUGUCUUGCUCAAAUAGGGACUCUGAAUUAGUAACAGAGUCACUCAUCUCGUUGAUAUCUGAAGACCUGUUAUUGGAACAAAUGGAGGCCCAAAUAAAAGGAUCUAAGAAUACUUGUAUGCAUAUUAUGAUUAUAAAGGGAAUGAAAAGAAUGAAAGAAUAUUUGCUCAAGAUGAAACUGAAUGAUAAGUUUUCACUGAAAUUAGAUUUUGGACAUGUGCCUUUUACAAAAGAUUCUUAUCACCCCCAGGCUUAGGGCAACACGUGUUCUGAAUAUUACUCUAGAUUAGCUCUAAAAAUACAGGGAUCUCUUCCACAGUCCCAUUGUUCAAAACACUCCUAAAUAUGCAAAAGUUUGGAGACUUUUAUUCCUCAGUUCCCUUUUCGGAUAUAUCAUUGAAAUUCCUCGAUAUUCCUUUCAGGCUUUUGACUUGUUCAAGGCAUUACAACUCUUUGCUCAUUAUCGUGUAACGUAAAGAUGCCUAGUCAUUUGACUUUUGUCGGUUUCCAAGUUAACUGGGAUAAUUUUACCUAAUUAGGGUCCUUUUAGGGAAAGUCUAAUGCAAAAUAAAGCAAUGCAAUGCAAAUGCAUGAAAUGAAUGCAAAAGAAAGGAAGGCGUUGAUUCUAAAUUUAAUUCUAUUAGAAUAAUUUUUCUAAAAAAUAGAUUUUUUUACAUGAAAAUAGUUUACAUAUGUGGUAUUGCCCUUCAUAGUCCAAGUAAACGCUGAUAUUUUCUUCAUGGUUAAACCCUGUAAAUUCUCCAAAAGAUGCAUUUGCUAGCUCCUUACUGCUUAAUCUGAGCCUCGAUCUCUUGCUCGCUUAUCUUCAAGAUACUCAUCAAAAAGUGCCAGCUCUUGGAUAAUCUUCGUUGGCAAUUAAAUCAAGUCAUGUAUUCCUUCGUGGACUUCCGGCUUUCUCUCGUCAUGCCUUCGUUGGCUUGAAUCUCUAGAAAUUACAUUAUGUAUUCCUCCGUGAACUACCAGCUUUCUCUCAUCGUGUUUACUCAGACUAUAUUCAGACGACCGCACUAUAAUCCACUUUAUCAAGAAAUUCGCUUCCUUAUGACAAACUAUUCUAUUUAGGAAUCGAAUUUCGAAUCAACACAUUCUUUUCUUUGAUGUAAUGCAAAUACAUGAAUGCAAAAAAAAAGGAAGACAUUGAUUCUGAAUUUAAUUUCAUUGGAACAACUUUUCUAGAAAACAAAUUCCUUUACAUAAAACGGACUACAUACACGGUCUUUCUCUCAUAUUCCAAGUGAAGACACCUUUCUUCCUCUUCAUAUCUGGAUCUUAUGGUCGAGUCUGACGAAUUCUCCAAGAGAUGUCUAUAUUAACUCCUUUUUUGCUUGAUCCAGGCUGCGACUCGUUGCUCACUUAUUUCUAUGAUACUUUUCAGCUCUUUUAAGAAAGUCAAGACAUGACAGCUCUCGAAUAAUCUUUGUUAGUUUCUGUCUUUAGGCAAUGAAGCAAAGUCUUGUAUUUCUUCACGGACUAUCAGCCUUCUUUCAUGUAUUCACUUGGACCAUAUUUAGACAACCGUGUUAUAAUCCACUUUAUCAAAAAAAAUUGUUUUCUUAUGACAAACUGUUCUAUUUAGCAAUCAAAUAUGAAUCAACACCUCCUUCCUAGGAUGAUGUAAUACAAUGCAAUUAUAAACAAAAAAAACAAAACACGUUAGUGCAGAAUAAAUAACAAAUAAAGCAAUUCGGGUGACCACUAGGGGUUUGGAGUGGCUCUACGUAGGGUAGGCUCCUAGGUCUCUCUAUAUGUGGUUUGGUUCUUGAGUAAGGGUACCUGAACCAACAGAUUCCUCGAUCCUCACCCAUUAUAGGCUCAUAUGGACCGAGUUCAGUUCAGGGGAAUACAUUUCCCUAUGGCCAUGCGGAGAUGAAAAUCUCACGAAGACAUAGGUACGGAUGUAUCCCGGAAGCGAUUCACUAUCCCAUGCGGAGGUGAAAACCUCACGAAGGCGUAGUUUCUCACUCCCACUAAAAAGGGUAUGACCAGCGGUCAUGCAAUGUAAUGUGCGAAGGUAUAAAAUAAAAUACAGAACACGAUAAAAAAUAUAACUCAGAACAAAAGAGAUGCAAUGAGAGGAUCGUAAAUUUAAAUCGAAUUUUCAACUUUCGACAAAAGACAAGAAAUAAUCAACACGUGGCUUGACUCUCUUAUUGUCCCCAGUGGAGUCGCCAAGCUGUUGACACCAUUUUUUUGUUAAAAAACGGGGUCGACUUGGAUUUUGAAAAAAAGAAUGAAAACGGGAGUCGCCACCAAUCCUUUUUUGAUGAGGUGUGAUCAGGUCACCUCAAAAAGUGGUUGUUUUUAAUAAAUGAUUUAAUUUUAUUAAAACAACGAUUUUGGUCUACGAAAUUUAGAAAAAUGAGUUCGGGAAUCGGUUACGCACGAGGAAGGAUUAGCACCCUCGACACGCCCAAAAUUGGUACCUUAGUUGAUUACAUAAUGUCUUAAUGUCGAAAAUUGAGAAUUUUGAAAAUUUUUAAAAAUUUUUACGAUCCUUAUAUUAAAACAUAAAAAAAAAUUCAGGAAAAGGGACAUAUUUCACGUUAUCUGAGAAAAAAAGAAUCAUAUCCAGUAAGUUAGGACACAAUGUCUCGAAUUCCCGAUAUCGUUUAAAACUCGAAUUUGAAAAGAUUCAUGUAAUAAAGUUUAAAAGAAUAUUCAAUUGUUUAAAUCAAAUAAAGAAAUCGCAACCCAAUACGUUAGGGCACAAUUUCUCAAAAUAUUAAACAUUGAAUAUUGCAUUUAUUUCGAAAAAUCCUUGUCUCGAGAAAGCAACGUGUCACAUCCAAUGCGUUAGGACACAACAUAUUAAAUUCUUGAUAACGAGCUUUUUAUCAUUUUUUUAAAGAGUAAUCUCGAUUAUUUAAAUUCAACGAAGAAAGUCGGAACCCAAUGCAUUAGGGCUCGAUUCUCUCGAAGAUCUAAAUAUCGAAUAUUACUUUUAUUUUAAAAUUUCAUUUUUGGCCAAUCCGAUUGAAAAGAUACGAUGUGACAACAAUGAUGAUAAUGUAAGUAAAAUAACACGAGCAAAACAUAAGAUAAAUAAAUAAUAAAACGAAGAAAACAAUCAAAAAGGCACAAUAACAAAUAAUAAACAAAUAAAAACUAAAACAUGAAUAACAAGCAUUUAAACAAAUAAAUAAAUGAACAAAAUGAUCCAAAAAAAAAUUAUGAAAAGUUAAAAGACAUAUAUAUAUGUACAAAAUUAUGAAAAUAUAAAAAAAAAACAUAUGUGUGUACACAUGAAUUAUAAACCAUAGAAAUAUCAUAAGAAAAUAUAAAUUUUUAAAAUAUAAGAGUAUGUAUAAAUACAUAUAUGCAUAUUUAUGAAAAAUAAAAGAGAUACAUGUAAGUACGUAUAUACAUAAAAAAUUUAAAAUGCAAAUAUAAAUAUAUUCAUGUAUAUAAGAAUAAUAAUAAAAGGCGUAUAUAUAUGCAUGUGAAUAUUAAGUAUGUACAUAUGAAUGUAUAUAAUAUAUAUAUAAACUAUAUAUAUAAAAAAAAUAUGGUAAUGAAAUAUAUACGCACUAUAUAUAUUUAAAACAUUUAGAAAUAAAAAUAUACACAUACAUUAUAAAGUACACAUGCGUGUAUGUAUGUAAGUAUAAUAAAAAAAUAAUAAUAGUAAUAAUAAUAAUAAUAAUAAUAACUAUAUUAAUAAAAUAAACUAAAAACUUAAAAUGAAAGAUUAUGGAUUAAAUUGAAAAUAAUUGAAGUUUCAGGGGCAAAUCUGAAACAAACAAAACACCAAUGAAUCGAAUGGAACAUGCAGUUAACAGUGGAGGACCGAAAGUCAAAUUAAUCCCUCCGUCCAAAACUCCACGCAGCAAUGGAUUAAAAUAAAACAAAUUCGACAUUUCAUGGCAAAAUUUGAAAACAAACCGCAAUGAUUUUGAACUGAUGGGAUAAAAUGAAGGAUUAAAACGCAAAUAACCCAUCAGUGUUUAAAACCCUUUUCAUCUCCAAUUAAAAGCCUACUCUGCAGCAGCAAUAGACGCAAAGUUGCUUCAUCUUCCUUUUUUCUUUUUUUGUUUUAAAACAACAGAGGGAAGAAAGAGGGAUCUGCUAGGCCUUCUUUAAAGCCCUAACUACCGCCACGCCACCGCCUUUCAAGCUUCGCCGCCGAUUCCGAUUCAGGUAAGUUUCGCCCUUUCCUUUUUUGCCUUUUCUUUUGCACCAAAAACAGAGAAGCAAAGAGAAAAAAAAAUAAAAUAAAUAAAACACAAAGAAAAUUACCUUCAAAAAUUGUUUUUGAUUCUUUGUUUGUAUUUCAGUAUUUUUCCAAUACAAUAUUUUUCUCUUUUUAGUACCCAAUCCCCCUUUUCUUUGUGAUCGAUUUUGGCUUUUUAAAACCGAUCUAUAAAACAUUCAUUUCCUAUUUUUUGUUUUCGUUCUUUUGUUUAUUCUUUUCCCCAUUCCUCGCAUGCUUCCUUUUGCUGUUGUUUUUGUCUCUGUUGCAGGUGUGUCCGGUGGGGGUGGUGCACGUGAUGGCCAAGGGCAGAGGUAGCAUGGGGCGACUGAUCAGAGGCGUGCAUGCGUGAGGGGAGGUGAAGCGGCGGCAGCUACAAAGCAUGAGGCUAGGGUUUUUUUGUUUGGUUGAAAACUAGUAUAGUUUGGGCCAUUCGGGCCUCUAAGGUUUUUAUCAUUAUUGGGCAUUUGGAUUGGGUCUGUUUUUUGGGUUAAUUUUGUUGUAAUGGUCUGUUAAUUUUUAUUAGUCUUGGUCCAUUUGGGUUUUAUGGUCUGGGCCCGGGCAAAAAUGGGCUUUUACACUAAAUAAUAAAAAAUGUUAUUUUGAAAACUUACAUUAAUCCUGAAAAUGUAAGAUUACUUAAACCCAACAGUAGCAUAAACUAAUACUGAUUGCAAUUCCGUUUACUCUUUGUUUGAUGGUUCUCCUAAGGCCUGUAGAA